AAAAACCGUCAAUUAUUGUUGAAAACUCGCUUAAAAUGUAUCGCCAUCAAAUCGCACGUAGCUCUACGACCGUAUAACGAUUAUAUCUAUAACGGACGCGACCACGGAAUACGCUCGGCAGCGUAAUUUACAGAUUUGACGAUUACCUACGCGCACAACGUACUAACAGUCGAGUGCAACUAUACGAUGUUAUUAUUUAUCGUCCGUGAGCUAACAACACUCGGGUAGGAGUCCCGUGCAACCCAAA